rnacentral:lncRNA from 1 species
UUUAACUGUGAAUAUAUUAUGUGACAUAUAUUUUAAAAUUGGAUUAAUUUCAUAUGAGUCCCUGCAAAUAUAGUGAAUAAUAAAUAUAUUCCUAAUAAGUUCAACUUUCAUAUGUUGUCCUUAAUAUUUUCAAAUAUAUUCCUGGCGCCGUUAGAAUCUGUUAGAAAAAUUUAGUUAAUCAUAGGUUAAAUACUUAAUCCUGAUUAAUUUUUGACAUUUUUAUUUCUUUUAUAUUAUACUGUUAUGAUAUUUGAAGAGAUAUAUUUAUGACGGCAAAAUUGAAAAUAUAAAUAGUUCUUUAACGGUUCUCUAACGAUAACAAAUCAGAGGGACGUAUUUGAAAAUAUCAAAAUUUUUUUAGGAACAAUAUAUAAAAGUUAAAUUUUGUAAGGAUAAUAUAUUUGUAGUGACCUUUAUGAAAUUAACCCUUUAAAAUUUGUAAGGAUAACUGCAUACAACUUUCUGUAAACAUAUCGAAUAACAAAUAUAUUUUUAUAAAGUUUAAUUUGUUAUUUAUAUUCCUGUAAGAGUACAGUGAUAUUCAUAUUUAUCCCUUUGGUUUGUUACUAUUAAAGUAUUUUUUUUUACAGCAGAUAUAUAAAAUGAUAUUUUUGUCUUUAUAAAUAUAUCACUCCAAAAGCUCCCACUGUUAAAAAUAUUUAGAAUUAUACAAAAAUGUCCUCUCAAAUAAGUAUUUUAUCCAAUAACAUAAGAGGGAUAAAAAAAUUAAUUUAACUUAUUUAUUAAUCAGUGUUAAGUUUUUUUUACUUAUGAUUAACUAUAUUUUUCUAACGAAUCUUAAUCGUAGGGAUAUAUUUGAAAACGUUGGAACUUUUUAGAGAUAAAAAUAAAAAAGUUGAACUUUUUAGUGAUAUAUUUUCUAUUUGAUAUGUUUACAGGAAGCUAUAUGCAAUUAAGGUUUAGUUUGGUAUUGAGACCCAUCUGAUACUAUUAGACAAAAUUGAGUUCGGAUAAAAGCAUAUAGGAAUAUGUUUUUGCAUUCUUUGGUGGGAUCGCAGAAAAUAUAUCGUAAUUGACUCAUCGCGAUAUGCGGAACGUAAAAUUACUUACGAAAAUAAAUAUAAUAUUUUUUUAUCGUACUUUUUGACUGUGCGUAAAGCAAUGGUAGGAUUUUUGUGGUUGUCCUUUGUUGAAAUGUCCAUAUGAACUUUAUAAUUGUGUGGUUUAGCCUGUUUAGUCAUGGAUCAAUGAUAGCAUGCUCUUUCUCAUUAAUUCUCAAAAUUUGACCUGUGACAAGUACAUUGAGUAUUAGUUCAUUUUUGUAUAAGAUUUUCAAUAAUACAGAAAAUUAGGAGUUUAAUUUUCUUUUCUCUUUAAAAGUUGGUGUCAUCUAUAAUUUGAUAGAAUGGUAUAUUUCUUAUUUUAUUUUAAAAAUAAUAAUAAUUUGAAGGUUGAACAUAAUAUCCAUUCUGAAUACUUAAUCCUACAUCUCACUUUUAAAAAUAUUUUUUUUUAGUUUUAAAUUUUUUUUAAAGAAAUUAUCAUCUAUCAUUUGGACAUGUGUAUUGCAAGCUAAUCAAUUAUUAUAGUAAGAGAGAUUUUUUUUUUAAUCAAUAUAUCAAAUUAUAUAUUAAUUAGUGUUUAAAAAAAUAAAAAAAAAUAUCAAUUGUGCCAAGCAAGUCCUUUUUUUUAUCUUAUUUAUGGCUGUUGAUAUAAUUCUAUUCCAUUUAUGUGAUUUAUUUAUCAACAUUUUGUGGCUUUGAGUUAUGUAAGCAUCUGAUUCCACAAAAUUGGGCCAGUUCCUGAAACAAAAGAUACUCGGGGUAUAUCUGCAAAUUGCAGUGAAUUUGAACAAAUAUUUGUAUUUCGUUAUCUAAAGUUUAAAAAAUUUUAAUUUAACAUCUAAACAAUCAAUAUGAAUUUCCGUGAAAUCCUCUAAACAGUGUUAACAAGUUGCAGAUGGUAGAUUUAAACUUUUCAAAUUUAUUUAUUUAUUUAUUUUUUUGAGAGAUAGAUAGCCCGUUACCUACUUGCUCUAGGAACGGUCGGUUUUUCAAAUUUCAAAUGAUGAAUUAUUUACGUGUGAAAAUUAGUUUCGAGGCUCUUGUUCCAGAAUCUAAUCGUAUAGUACGAUUAAAAUAUGCAUUACUCAUAAGUUCUUUGUGAAUCGUAACCGUUAACCAACUAUCUCAAAAGCACGUGCUGAUAGGAAUGACAUAUCCAUCAUACUUAAGGGCUCAGUCAUAGCGCUCGUGGGACCUUCACUCAACUUAUAUUAGGCUCACGUAAUUCAACUUAUUAGUUUUCUGAGCUUAUUGAUUUUGACCUAUUUCAAUCCAUCUGAAUGUUGGGUUUAUUAUUGGGCCUUUUGUUGUUAGGUCUUUUGUGGACUACACCUUCACUCAACUUAUUAGGCUCAUCCAACUCAACUUAUUAAUCUUCUAGGCCUAUUGUUACAGGGCAGGAUAUUGGACAUAUUUUAGCCCAAUAGCCAACAAUCCCUCCCAACACCUGCAUCGUUAAUGCAGCAUGUGGGAAUCGAACCCGCGCCAUCGAUUCUAAUACCACCUGUGGAUCGUAAGCAUUAACCAACUAUCUCGAAAGCACGUGCUGAUAAAAAGGUCGCACCCAUCGCAUUUAAAGGCUCAAUCACAGCGCUCGCGGGCUUCGGCCUGACUCAAUCCACCUAGACGUAGAGUCGAUUGUCGGGUUUCUUACCGUUAGGUCUUUUGUGGAUAACACAUCGAUUCAACUUAUUAGACUCAUCCAACUCAACUUAUUAAUCUCUCGGGCCUAUUGUCACGGGACAAGAUGUUGGACCUAUUUUUGUCCAAUAAUAAAUAGCCAACACUCUUCUGAGGGAUCAACACUAAGUUAGCUUCGGGAUCUGCUUUGGUGCCAUUAGAUAUAAUUUAAAGUAUUCAUAAGCAAAAGAAAUCGAGACAAUACAAAAUUCGAUGAUUUUUUAAACAAGAAGAUACAAAAGUAAUGUAGUUUCAUUUCAAAUUAAGAUUAUGAACACAAGAUUUGGUUUGAGUUCAAUUUGUAAUGCAACACUUACCAGAUGCAUCACUUGAAGAGAAGUUUACAACUAAAGGUCACCAAGGAUUAGAGGAAACUGAACAAUCUUAAGAUAUCAUCAGCCCGCGUGCACGUGAACGCCAAUCGCGACGACGAGGAUGGUGAGGAUCGCGAAGAAGAUGAUGGCGUGGACGAGGAUCGAGAUGCCGCUCGUGUACAUGUUCCCGAACUCGAUGAUUCUCGUCCUCGACGGCAGCUGAAACAAGAGCCCUGGCGAGAGGAGGAUGAAGAGGACCACCGCGACGAUCACGGGACCCCAAUCCGUCGACAUGUCGAAACAACUUCUCCUCUUUCUCCUUCUCCUCCUUCUUUAACUUUGCGAUCGAGAAAGCGAUUUAAAGUUGAUUUAUUCUUGUUCUUCUUCUUUAGUUAAGCAAGUUUAUACUAAAGGGUGGUAGAGUGAAGCACAAGUGUGUGUGUGUGUGUGUGUGUUUGAGAGAGAGAGAGAGAGAGAGAGAGAGAGAGAGAGAGAGAGGGGGUAACUUCUUUUUCUCCCCCAUUCCCUUUUUAGAGUUAGUGGAAAUAAUACAUGCAUGCUUUACACUAAUGCAUGCACUUUGUGACUUUCUCACAAAGCACUUUUAAAGUACUUCUUUAGCUGAGCAAGUGGUAGGAUUAGAUCAAGAUAUGGAGGGAGUUUUACUAAUAAUUUAAAAAUCAGAUUGAAUCGGGAAUUUUUACCAAUGAGUUAAAAAUCAUGCCAAUCCAAUCGGUUUGAUCGUGACCCCGUUAUCCUUUGAGCCGGAUAAGUCAAAAUUCUGGUUUUGAUUCGACCGGUUCGAUCGUUACUCGGUUAUCUUUUACUCCAUUCUACAUGUCAAUUAUCCUCCAACAUUGACAAGCGCAUUAGAUGCCACCCUAUGUGUCACCAUCUAAAAUAAAUCCAAAAAAUUUAAUAAAUUGGUAAAUUAGGCUAUAAAAUUUUACUAAAAUGAUUUGACAUAUCACAUUGCAUCAAAUAGCCUCCUAUCUUAAAAAUUGCAUUAGUUACCAUCUUAUUCUUUGUUAUCAUCUCAAAUAUAUCCAAAAAAUUUAAAAAAUUGACAAAUUAGGAUAUAAAAUUUCGUUAAAAUGAGUUAGCAUAUAACAUUAUUCUGCAUAUAUAUAUAUAUAGACCUAGGCUGGAAUACUAUCGAUAGCACCAAUAGCUUGGUGCUGAAAAUAUAUGAUUAGGAUGGUGUGGACGUCUUAGGGUUGAGUGAGUUAUUGGUUUAAUAAUAUAAUCUAACGAGUGAAAAUAGUCAUAGGGCUAAAUCUAACGGCGGAAAACUUGAUAGCACCAAACGCUUUGUGCUAUCAUUAGUAUUCCAGCCGGACUAUAUAUAUAAUUUGUAACUUAAAUAUAUAUAAAAAAUUUAGAUAAAUGAGAUCUUUUAUUUUGUUAAUACUAUUAAAAUUAAUAGCUUAUUGAGUAAUUUAUGCAAUUUAUAUGACUUUAUUGCAUUACUGAUAGGUAACAUUAUUUGCAAAUUUAUUUUCAUAAAAUUUUAUAAUUGAAUUCAGCAAUUAUUCCAAUUAGGUGGAUUUAUUUGAGAUAAAUGACAAAGUGUAUGGAAGUAAUUGAUGCAAUUUUUUCUGCUGGGGGUAUUUAAGACACGUGCUAAAGUGCAAUGAAGCAUUUUAUAAUUUUAAAAUUAAUUCGGAUAAAAUGUAUAGAAAUUUGAAAAUAGGCACCUAAAUUUUUAAUUUGAUAAUAGAUUUUUUAAAUUUUAUAAAAUAGUGUAGUGUAAUAGUCCUCUCUUCUUGAGUGAACUUACUAUUUACACUGUUACUUUGCUCGGAUAUCAUGUAUAUAAUUCUAUAAAACUUAAAAAUAUAAAGAAAUAUAUUUUUCUCUUUUAAUUUUCAUAAUUAGGUUUGACGAUCAAAAAAAAGUUGAAUCGAACUUUUUUAUUAUUUAUUCUCCUUCUCUUACAUAUUAGAAUACAAAAUAUAUAUAUAUAUUUUAAUGUUUUGAAGUUUUAUAAAACUAUAUGCAAUAUAUAAGACUAAAACUAUUAUAUAAUCAAUAACUUUAAUUAACUAGAAAAUUUAUUAAACUAUUCAAUAAAAUUUUAUAAUAUUUUAUAUUAUAAUUAAAAGUUCAAAUGUACGAUUUUGUAUACUCGAAUAAGAAAAAUAUUGAUACGUGCAUUUGUACAGUUUUGUAUACUCAAAUAAGAAAAAUAUUUUAUUUACAAAAUAUUUUUAAUAUGUUAGAGAUAAAUUAUGCUCUUCUUUCUCGUGAUGUACAUUUCUUCAUCAAUUAAAUACCGUUGCUGUGUUAGGGAUGCAAAUCGAUUCGAGUUGGCGAAGCUCCCGCUCCGAUCUGUCCUGAUCCGCCAAGUACGUGAAAUUGGAGGUAGAAGAUUUUUUUCUUUUUUUUAUUCAUUCCGAUUAGCCAAAAAUUUACUUUCAUUCCGAUCUGCCCCGACUCGAAUAAUAGAUAGAAAACGCAUCUAAAAUAUUAUCAGUUUAUAAAAUAUUAUAAAAUUUAUUUAAAGUUGAACAUUACUCCUCAAAUUAAUGGCAUAAAAUAUGUACACUGUAGUUUUAUUUAAAAAAAAAAUAAAAAAUAAUUAAAAUUUAAUGGACGGUACGGAUUCGCCCUGAUGGACCCGACACCAUUUCCGGGAACGCAUAUCACGCAAAGAAUCGCCCAAAACUCAAAAAAAUUCAAAAUUCACGCGGGACCCGCCCUUUCCUCCCUUUCACGAUAAGAACCCACCGUUAAAAAGUAUGCUUGCUAAGCGUACUUCAAAAAGAUCAUCCUAAAGUUUUUAAGUGCGGCAAAAAAAAAAAAAAAAAAAAAAAAAAAAUAAAAUAAAAUAUAUAUAUAUAUAUAUAUAUAUAUAUAUAUAUAGAGUCCGGCUAGGAUAUUGUCGAUAGCAUCAAGGACUUGAUGCUAUUGAGUUUUCCACCGUUAAAUUUAAUUUUUUGAUUAUUUAUACCCAUUAGAUUAUACUAUUCAACCAACCACCCACUCAACCUUGGAGAGCCCACAUCAUACUAACCGCACAUUUCUCAAUCCAACGGUUAAAAAAUUAAUAGCAUUAAUAGCUCGGUGGUAUAUAUAUAUAUAUAUAGAAUUAUAUUAUUAUACUAUCGAUAGUAGCAAGUGUUUGGCGUUAUUGAAUUUUUAGUCGUUGGUUGAGGAUGUGUUGUUAGAAUGAUAGUGAUCUCCGUUUAGAAUAAUAAUGAUCCUCUAAAGUUAAGUGGAUGGUUGGUUGAAUAGUAUAAUCUAACGGAUAUAAAUGAUCAAAGUAUAGAUCUAACUGGAGAAAACUCGAUAAUACUGAAAAUUUAGUACUAUCAAUAGUAUAGUAGCCGGACUCUCUCUCUCUAUAUAUAUAUAUAUAUGAAUUCUUCUAAGAUAGACCCCUCAACUUUUUUUAUUUUGUUUUUAAUAUAGAACUUCCCACUUUCUAAUUUUGAAAAUAAAAAAAGAUCGCCAAAAAAAUUAAAAAAAUUAUGAAAUUUAUUAGGAGGUUGUGCCAAAUUUAAUAAAUUUAAUCGUAGUUGAAAGGAAAACACGAUUGUUUUGCGAAAAUAAUAAGAAAUUUAUUAAUAAUAAUAAGCAGCUAAAUGGUCUAUAAUUUACAACUAGCACUUUGGGGGACAUUUUAGAGUGCGCAGAGCACGACCCCUGCUUUCGCCGCUAAAUGCGCCACGUGUCCGCGACCUCUCCCCACGUUGCGUUUGCGUGCGCCGUGUCCCGUGCUAGCACCGCCCUUCCUCUCUCGAACCCUCUGAUUGAUACUUUUUCGUGAACCCCGUGUAUGCGUACAUUCCAUACACCGCACAUUACUCUUUUUUUUUUCUCAAUAUUAUAGUUAAUAUUUACGAAAACUUGGUGAGAAAAUAUAAAUAAUAUUGAUAUAAAAGACCUUUAAAUGUUAUAGAAAAUAUCUGGUAUAUUAUAUUUUGAUUUUAAGACAUCUUAUUUUGGAAAUUUUUUUUUGUGAGCGGUGUAUAGAGUGUACUUGGUACACGCGGUGCAGCCAAUAGUUUCUUUCUAGGAACCAACUCCAACUUUGUGUGGAAAUAUACAGAGAACCCCUCAAGAAUAGAUUAUUUCUAGGUUAGUCCUCUCAACUUUAUUAUUUGAAUAAUAAUAAUAAUAAUAAUAAUAUAUUUAACUUUUUAGUUUGUAAAUUUAAAUGAUCUCACUUAACUAAUCUAAUUCGUUUCUUUGAAUUUAAAAUCUGUUAACAUUAAAAAAAAAGUUUAAAAUAAUCAAAACCAUCAAUUCUGACAGAAUUACUCAUAAAUUUUUUAAUAAAUCCCCCAACUUAAUUAACUACAAUUUUUGUUUUUUUUUUUUUCAAGAACGUUCGUAAAUAUAUUUCAAACAAGCCUUUUUAUGAUUUGAACUUGAAACAUAACAUAAUUUGAAUAAUAAUAUAAUAAUAAUAGUUCAAAAUAAUAAAAUUUUGAUAUGUCCCUCAAAAUUUUCAAAAAAAAAUUAUUUAUUUUUGAUAUGUCCGUCAUAUUUAAUACGCCCAUUUUAUAAUAUUUUUAAAACUUCUGCAAAAUAUUUCUAUUUUUUUUGAAGCAUGUGCUGAUAAAAUUGAAAGUUAGAAGAGUAUUUUAGUAAUUUAAAAUUACUUUAAAAAUUUUGAAUAGUAAUAAUAGUAAAUAAAUAAAUAAAAAAAUUCAAACUAGAAUAUAUAUCUUACAUCAUUUUUUUUUAUUUUUAUUAAAAAUUAUUUAGAACUUAUAAAUCCUAAAAUGGAGGUGCAAGAUCCAUAUCCCCUUUUCUAAGGAGUGUACAAAUAGAAUUUCUCCACUUCAAAAUAUAAAGGCACCACCAACCGUCCCUAGAGCAAGUGGCAAAAGGUUUGAUGGUUGGUACCCGAGAUCCAAGUUCGAAUCCUAGUUGAUUCACAUUUUCAGCUAAGUUUAUUUCUAAAUGAAAUAAACGAAACGGGUAGCAUUUUAUCUAUCUCUUAAAAAAAAUAUAUAUACAUAUAGAGAUACCUAUCGUGAAAAGCAGUAUAGCCAAACACCACCCAAGAAAAGAAAAGAAAAAACGUCAAAAACCAUCCCUGUAGUUUCAUAGUUUCUCAUUUUGCCUCCCUGUGGUUUAAAGUGUAUCAAUUUGCCCCCUUGUGGUUUCGUUUUUAUUUUUUCGGUAGCUUUUUCGUUAAUAUUUUGUUAAAUUAUAUACAAAAAAACUUCAGAUAUCCAUCUAGAUUUAUCAAAUAUUCACUUUAGUACCCUUUAAUUUUAACUUUAUUACUGAUUUACGAAAAAAAAAUAAUGAAAUUGAUAAGAAAAAGAGAAAAACAAAACUACAGGGGGUCAAAUUGAUACAUUUUAAAUCAUAGGGGAACAAAGUGAGAAACUACGAAACUACAGGGGGGUUUUUGAGGUUUUUCCAAAAGAAAAAUAGUUGAGGGUGCUCCCUGCAAUUUAACCUCUAUAAACCAACAAAUCUCUCCAUCUUCUUGCUCUACACGCCAAACACAACCCCAGAAAAGAAAAAAGCAGCACCUGCAACAGCAGCAGCAGCAGGAGGAACAGUAAUAAUACAUACAUACAUAGACUGCAGGCAAAGAAGAGAGAGAGAGAGGAAGAGGAAGAAAAAGAAAGAGAAAGGAGAGAGAGAGAGAGGGAGAUCUAGAUGGCGGACUGGGGGCCGGUGGUGAUAGCGGUGGUGCUGUUCGUGGUGCUGACGCCGGGGCUGCUGUUCCAGCUGCCGGGGCGGAACCGCAUCGUGGAGUUCGGCAGCAUGCAGACCAGCGGCGUCUCCAUCCUCGUCCACGCCGUCCUCUACUUCGCCCUCAUCACCAUCUUCCUCAUCGCCAUCGGCGUCCACAUCUACACCGGCUGAUCAUCACCAUCACCAUCACCAUCACCAGCAUGAUGCAAAAUGAAUCAAAUUAUAUUACAAACAAAAAAAAUUCCAGCUCGUCGCAAUCUCAUCAUCAUCAUACAUGGAAGAUCGAGGAUGUUGUUAUUGUUGUUUUUUUUUUUUUUUUUUGGAAUUUUUUUUUUGUUUUUUUUUUUGUGUUUUGGAGUCUGUGUAAGUGAACGAUGGAUUACUUACAGAAAAGGAGAGAAACAAAAAAAAGCAAAAAUUAGUAGACGUAUUUUGAGAUUUUCUUUUUCUUUCUUUGGUAUUUUGGUUCUGGUGUGAGCGAACGAUGGAUUGCUUGGUUUUAUUUUUUAUUUUUAAUUUAAAAAUAUUCUGUUUAAUUUGAUCUCCUCCUCCCCUUUAUUAUUCUUUCUUUCGUUUUUUCUCAUAUAAAAAUAGUUGUAGUUAUUUUUGAAAUUUUGGUAAUUUCAUAAAAUUUGAAAAAUUGUACUCUUAUAUAAAAAUAGUUGGAAUUAUUUUUUGAAAUUUUGAAAUUUGAAAUUUAAAAAGUUGGAAAGUUGGAAAUGGUUGAGGGGUAGAAUGGUAAUUUGGCCGAUGCUUUGUAGCUGGGUGCUAGGUUACUUUCACGAAAGAAACAAAAUAACCAAUAAUUAAAUGAGAAAGUAAAUGAGAGGGACGAUGGAAUCGAACGUGACAUCUUGGAAUUAUUGUACCAAAUCAUUCAUCCAUUAAUAAAUAUCACGUAAGAUCGAAAUUAUUUUUGUCAAAACCAUUCAUUAAAAAUAAGAUUGUUAUUUAUAUUAUUAUUAUUAUUAUUAUAUUUUUAAAUGUUAGUAGAUUGUAUCACAUGUUGCUACUGUACUGCAGUUGUAACGGUAUGUAAAUACAAAUUUCGUGUUUGGUUUGAUGUAUUUAACUCUAACUGCUGCAGUAGGAACUGCAGGAAGAGGUCCAACUGCAGUAGUUCGAAUUACGUCCAAAUUGACCGCAGCUCCAACUACAGAAGUUGGAGAGAGUAACUUUAAAUAAAAGAUAUGCUUACCUCCUCAAUAUUUUUUAAACAAAAAUUAUUUUCCUUCAUUACAUUGGAAGUAAUCUCACUAUCAUAUAUAUAAAAUAAUAAAUUUUAAAAUUUAUUUCUCAACUGCAUGCAACCAAACAAUUUAUUUAUACUUGCAGCGCUUUCUACUACAUCCAACAAAAUAUGAUUCAUGUAGUUGUAAUUGCUGUAUUUCCAACUGCAUGAAUCUCUAACUACACUGCAUUUAUAAUUACAUCUAAUUAAACGGCCCCUUAAUAGCGUCAGAUGGGACUCAAUACCAAAUUAAAACUAAGCCUAAAAAAAAAAUAAUUUGUAUUAUAUAUAAAAAUAUGUAUUCUGAAAAAAAUGAAAAAAUAAAAAAAUCUGCCGUGUGUGAAAACGAAAUUUUUUUAAAAAAGAUCAUCUUAUUCUUUUCUUGUUUGCUUAGUAACAAAGAAUUUUUUUUAAAGAAAACGAACAUUUAUUCUUUUCUUUUUGCUUACUAACAAAACUUCUAAUUAAUAUUAUAUAUAUAUAUAUAUAUAUAUAUAUAUAUAUAUAUAUNUUUUUGCCGUAGCAUUUUUGUAGACAAAGUUAUUAAGAUAGUUACAAAUUAAAAUGACUUAAAUUAUUACUAAUUUUACUUUUAGUUGCUAAAUUAGUUAUUUUGUUAUUUUUCAAAAAAAAAAAGCAGGACCCAAGUAAUAUAUAUAUUUUAAUUAAAAUAAAUUAUAGUUUAAUAUUUUGAGAAAAAAAUUAAAAAAAUUUGGUGACUUGGGUCAUAGUAAUGCCUUCUUUUUUUUUUUUUACAGUUUUUAUAAAAUAAUAUAUUUAUCACGUCCCGAUAAUUCUUCCUAGACACCUGUAUCAAUUAAAUAAAAAAAAGAAAUUAAAAAUAAAAAAGAAAAGUUAAUGUAAAAAUGCAUGGAGAACCCCUCAACUAUGUACGUUUUCUCAUUGACACUUUUUUAACAUUUAAUUUUUUUAAAUAUAAAAUAACUUCAAUUAAAUAAAUCAAAAAAAAUUAUCAAAUUGAUUGGUUAUUUUGUUAAAUUAAUAAACUACUCUACGGGGAAAUAAUACUUGGCUAAUUAACUGUAAAUAGAUAAGUUUACUAUGAAAUUUAAGUUAAUAAGGAAAUAUCGAUUUUAGAAUCGCCUAUAGUUUAGGGGUCUCCGUACAUUUUUACUUUUCUUUAUUAUAUAAUAAAUGUAGUCGGUGAUUAAUUAAUGCACAAAAGAUUCGUCUUUAUCUUGAAUUUGACCGUUACACCUUUGUGUUUUUUUAAAAAAAAUUAUUUUUUUAUGUAUUUUUAAAAUUUUAUUUAUAUAUACCCUUAUUUAUUUAAAUUUUUUUUAAUUCAAUUUAAGAUCAAAAUACUAUAUCUUGAUUAAUCCAAAAAGACCGUGAUAAUUAAAAAUAAUUUAGGAUUAGUCUUAAUAUGCUUACUUAUAUGUAUGAUAAAGAUCAGUUGAAUCAUUUCACACGUUUUGAUCAAAAUGGUACUAUCCAAAAAAUUAAUUUAUAAAAAAUAACUCAUAAAAAAAAUUAUGUGGCACCAAAAAAAACAAAAGCAAGAUUUAUGAGUCUAAAAUUAAUAAGACAGUUUGCAUUAAAAAAUUCACUAUUUUUGAAAUUUUACAAAAAUUAGUCACUAAUAUUUGUUUCUGCGUGUUCGGAUUAUUAUUAUUUUUUUUAAACUAGCCAAAAUAUUUUUAUUCUUUUUUUUCUUGCUCUCUUUUUCUUUCCGUUUCUUCUCAUUCCUCCUUUGUCGCCCCACAUUGCCAUUACACUCCUCCCUUAUCCUGCCCACAAGCGUAGUCGUUUCCGGCGUUCUCCGGCGAGGUCGCCGCGAUCGCGAUGAGGUGUCGCUCCGAGCGUCGCAAGAGGUGGCGAAGGAGGAGGCCGAUGAUCAUUAAUUAAGAAUGCUUCUGAAGCAGGUUCACGAGCGUAUGUGGAUGACGGCGACGAGGUGGUGGUGGCAGUAGUAAAAGAGAAAAAUUUAACGGACGACGCCAACAUGUUUCGGAAACAUUCUCAACAUUCUCAACUAGCCAAUUUAUAAAAUCAAAAAGUAUAACAUACUUAUGCAAAAACAAAAACCUAGUGGAUUAUUAUUAUUAUUAUUAUUAUUAUUAUUAUUUUGCAAAAAAGAUCAAAUUAGUAAGUCCAAUUUGCUGUUUCGAUUUUGUCAUGCUAAAAAUCAUUAGAAUUUCUUUUUCUUUUUCUUUUUUCUGUGGUAAUAUUUAAAUUAGCUAAGUUUGGCGCGCACACACUUUAUAGUUUGAGAACCAAAAUUAUAAUAUUACCUUUUUCACAACUACAUGCUAAAUUGAAAUUUUCAUGAAUCAAAUAAGUUUCUUCAUGAAUUUAAUAAGUUGGCCAAAUAAUUAAUUCACCCACCUCCUCAAUAAAAUAUGUUGGCCCACCCAUGGCCUAAAUCAUGGGUGUAGUUUAUAUCAUUAUUGAUUGAAGCAUCACAAAUUAUGUACAUAGAGAGUAUUGCCACACAAAAAAAGAAAAAAGAAAAAAAAAUAUCAAUUACACUUAUUUUCCUUAAUAUAAGAAAAAAAAAAAAGCUAGAAAAUACACAUCCUAGAUGAAAGCCCCAAUAAUUAAGAUGAAGUGAUAGAAUAACCUUUUCAUUUAAUUUGAAUGGGACCCAUCAAGUUCUUGUGGUUCCAAAUUAGUCAAUUUUAAAUUUUCUGGUGAAUAAAAUAAAAUUUUCUCUCUGGUUAAAUUUUGAGAAUAAUUGAUUAUUCGGCAAUGCUUCAAUACACCAUAAGUAUUAAAAUUAAACUCUUAAUUAGUAAAGGGUAUAGUUGGAUUUUACAUAAAGUAACCUAUUGAAUAGGUUGUCAAUUUGAAUUAGUUAAUAUGACAAUAUUGGAAAAAAAUUAGUAGCAUAUACUAAAUUUGUCAGCAUCUUUUAAUUAGUUUUGUUACUUACCAAAUUAGAUAAUACCCUAUUUAUUAAGUAUCAAACUAAAAAAAAUAUUGAAUUUAAAUUUAAGUUUUGAAGUUGGUAUUGUAAUGUAAAGUUUUAAUUUCAAAAUUUGUGUUUUAUAUUUAAAAAGUGAAUUUGAUAUAUAAUUAAGUUUGUUAUGUUGCUUUGCAUUUAAAUUUAUAAUUUAGUUGUAAUUUGAAUUUCAACUAUUGUUGUAGGUAUUUGAGAAGGUUAUAAUAUUUUUUAGUUAGAUUGAACCGGUUUUGUAGGCAAAAAUAUUUUUCUAUGACCAAAAUACCCUUUAAAUAGGUACCUGGUGAAUGGUACCUAUGCCUACAUAGUAAGUCGCCUCUAGAAUCAUAUUACAUCUCAACCAUCUAUGUAAAAAAAUAAAUGGUCAAGAUUUACAUAAGAUUUAGAUGGUGUAUUAAAGUAUUACUCUUGAUUAUUUUAAUUUGAUAUAAGAGCAGUACAUUUUGGAUCUAAAUCUCAUCAAUUUUUUAGUUUUAUUUAGUUUAUAGAAUAACAAAGUAAAACUUUCCAAAGAGUAAAUUAUAAUACUUUUGCUACUCAAACUUUAAUUUAUUAUAAUUUUUGGUUUAAAUUUCGUAAAUUAUUUGGUUCAAGUCCUACAAUCUAAUUUAGUUUACUAAAUAUUAGCAUAUUACUAAUGUAAAAAAAAUAUUUUAAUUAUCGCCACGUGAUUAAUCAUAAUACUCUUAUAUCACUUUCAUAUUGGCGAUACAUUAAUACUUAGUCAACUAAAUUGUGUAGUGCGGCUUAAUUAUAAUAAUUUAAAAACUAUAACUCAGAAAUUAUAAUAAAUUAAAAUAUGAAGACCAAAAGUGUCACACAACUCAUAUUUUGAAAACCAAAUAUGUAAUAUAACCUAAAUAAUACAUUAUGGAAUAAUACUAAAUUAAAAAGUUGCAUCAUAUAUUAUACUAAAGUUAAAAGAGUAGUGCUUCUCAUAACAUGAGAGGAGGAGAAGACCCAUGGUCAAUAUGAAGGAAAUUAAAAGAGGAGACCAUGCAUGUUGGAGACUUGGCAUAUUUAUUUAUUGCACAGUUUGGAUGGGGUAUAAGGGGAGGGAUAACCCCUUAUUCCCCUCUUUAUAUUCAAACUUAAAUUUUUUAUCCAAAAAUAGUAGUUUUCGGGUACAUGAAAUAAACUGGUAUAACUAUCUCUACCAAAACUUUCAUUUUCUAUAUAUAACUAUUCACUAUUUUUUUUAUUCCAUAUUAUCUAUCCAAAUACUAUUUUUCUUAUCCCCGGGAAUAACCCAAUUUUCAUCUAAACGCUAUUUUUCUUAUCCACAUACUUGUACCUAUCCCUGUAAUAGGUAGUUUUUACUUGUACCCGAACCAAACAAAGCUCCUUUUAGGAAAUUAUGCUCCCUUUUGUGUGAUAGGAUCAUUGAAGAUACAUUUUUUUUUUUUUUUUAAAAGUGCCCCUCCUCAUUAUUCCAUAGGAUGAUAAUAACAAAGUGGGUCAACCUUAUAGCUUGAAAAUCAAACUUGAUAUUUCGCGGACAAAGUGUUACGCAUAUUACAAUAUGAAAACUAUAAUUUAUAUUAUACGAAACAACCAUUGUUUUUUAGAAGUCUCUUCAUUGGUCUACAAAAAUCUCAAGUUCAAACGUGAGACAUAGUAUUAAAUAUAAAAGUAUAAAAACAUCAUCUCUAAUAUCUGUCACGGGCUUAAACAAAAUUGUUUGUCAAACUCGUACAAUGCUCGCCUUCUUUCGUGAAAUAAACAAGCCUAUCUCUUCGCUUUCUAACCCGAACCUACUCAUCCUACGACUAAGUAUAGGAAAGUGAGUUUGAAGGAAAGUAGUAUUUUUUUUGCUAGAUAGUAGAAAAAUAUAAAUGAGUUCUUCUUAGGGGGUGGUUAGUGUCCCAGGUCCCAAGUUCGAAUUCUAGUUGAUUCACAUUUCCAGCUAAGUUUAUUUCUAAAUAAAAUAAACGGAAGUGAGUAGCGUGCUACAUAUCUCUCAAAAUUUUUUUUUUUUUUUUUGAGGGGGUGGGGCCCAUAAGUAUAUAUAAAUUACUCGCCACCUAGCCCACCCAAGAGAGCAAAUAGAAAAGCACCAAGUGACACAAAACUACAAGUCAAAAUGAGAGGCUACAAGCUUUAAAGAGACUCUAUUUAUUACUUCUAAAAACCCUAAGGCUGCGUUUGGUUGGAAGUAUAUCCCAGAACAAGGUGGGAUAUCCCUCGUUGUCCCCCCAAACGCAAUGCAAAAUGGAACAACCCGGUUGUUCCGGGCUUAACGGGUUGUUCCGGGAACAACCCGUUAAGAUUGUUCUCCAUUUCAUGGAGAACAAGCUGGAACAUGUUUUUUUUGUCUCUUUUUUUCUUUUUAUGCCAUUUUAUUUUUUUUAUACUUUAUUUUAAUUAAUUUCAAAUAAAUUAAAUAAAUGCUCAAAUUUAAUAAAUAAUACAUAUAUUAAUAUAAAUAUUAUUUUUAUGACAAUAUAUUUAUACUUAAAUUUUAUUAUAUUAUAUAAAUUAAUUAAAUUUGAUAUAUUUUUUAUUUUAUUAAACUUUAUCAUUUACACUUUAAUAUUUAAUUAUAUAUAUUUUUUUAUUUGUAUUGAAAUUUAUACUAAUUAUUAAUUAAAAAUAUAGGGAUAUUGUUAGUAUUAUACUUUAUUCAUUAAUAUAUUAUGAAUAAAUUAUAUAAAAUAAAUUAUUACAUAAAAUAAAUUAUUAUAUAUAAUAAAAUAAAAUAUAUUAUUUUAAAUUAGAUUCUUACAUAAAAUAUUAUAUUAUAAAUUACUAUAUGAAAUAAUUUUAUAAAUAAUUUUAUAUAAAAUAUACUAAUAUAAAUUAAUUAUUUUAUUUUUAAAAAUAUAUUUAGACGUUGUUCUAGACUUUUUAUCCAAAUGCUAUUAAGGAUAUCCUCUAGAAUAUCCUCGAAUGCGUCCAAACAUAAAUUUACAAUUGUUCUAUCUUGUACCAGAAUAUCUCCUGUUCUCGGGAACAACAAAAGUUGUUCUCCAAAAUUUAGUUCUCCAACCAAACGCAGCCUAAGGGAUAUUUGACUCUUCAGUUUUCACGUCAGCAGUCUCGAUACCCGUAGAUGCUUCUAGAGAAUUCUGGCAAAGUCUCCGACAGUAAUUUCUUUUAGAAUUUGGGUGAUUGCAAAAGAAAAAUCUGGGCAAAUGCUAAGUCCCUUACAUUAUAUUUUUGAUAAACAAUGAUUGUUUCAUACUAUUUUUUAACAUUAUAACUAUACACUAAACUAUAUAUGGUCUUCAUGAAUUUAACAAGUGGGCUAAAUAAUGCACCCACUCUCCUCAAUGUUAUAUGUUGGACCACCCAUGGCCCAAAUCAUAGUAGAUAGUGUUUAUCCUUAAAGAAGCACAACUUUUUGAUAUUGCACUAAAUUUUUUUUUUUUGGAUAUGUAGACAUCAAUUACACUUAUUUUACUUAAUAUGAUGGAAAAAAAAAGAGGUGGAAAAUAUAUUCCUCCCUAGAUAAAAAGCCCUAAUAAUCAAGGAGAAGUGGUGGAGUAUAUAACUUUCCUUCAAUUUGAAUGAGACCCAUCAUCCAGUCAUGUGGUUCCAAUUUACUAGAUUUUAAUUUUCCACAUUUUUAGUGAAUGGAGACUUAGCCUAAAAUAUUCUUCUUUGACAAGACAAAUUUUAAAAUGAUUAAUUACUUUCACUUAAUAUCAGAGUAGGUGUUUCUAAAUUUUAAUCCUACCAUAUUUUUCACUUUCAUUUAAAUUUCUUUCAUUUAAUUCUUAAACCUAUCAGAAAGUCUCAAAUAAAAAAAAAAGCUUGAUAUUUUAUAUAUUAAAAUAUCAUUACCUUAUUUAAAUAAAGGUGUUUUUACUACCACUCUUGUGGUUUAAAAAAAUUUAUUAUUAUUACUAUGUGGUUUUCUUAAUAAUUUAUAAACAACAUUAUGAAAUAUAGCACUUUAUGGAUGUAUUAUUUUAUUAUAUAUUCUAUUUAAUGAUAUUUUUUUAAUUAUAAAAUAAAGAUAAAAUUAUAGAUUAGCAUGAUAUUACUUUUAAAAUUAUUGGGUGAUAAAGUGGAAAAGGUAUACAUGGUCAAUAUGAUGGGAAAGGAGGAGACUUGAGAUAUUUUUAUAAUAGGGAAUUAUGCUUAGGUUAUUCAAUUGCCUUUUUGUUGAUGAGUUCAUUGAAAGUUACACCCAAAAAAAAAAAAAAAAAAAAAAAAAAAAAAGAGCUUUCCCUUCUUUUAUUCCAUAGAAUAAGAGCAUUAAAGCAUUUAUUAAGGGGAUGUUUGGUUUGACGUAAAAUUGCGAAAAAAAAAUUUUCGGUGGAAAAAAAAUUUUCGGAGAAAAAUAAAUUUUACGCUCUUAGCGUUUGGUUUGUAGAAAAAAAAAGUAGUUUUUCGUUACGGUUGUUUGGUUGAAAGGAAAAGAAAGGAAAAAUGAAUAAAAAAUGAUUAUAUGUAUUUUGUCAUAUUAUAUAUAUAUUAUUAAUAUAAAAUAAUUAUCAUACUAUAUAUAUAAUUAUUAUAAUUUAUAUUUAUUAAUAAAAUAUACGUAAAAUAUAUUAUACAGUAAAUAUGUAAUGUAAUAUAUAAUUAUAUAUAUAUAUAUAUUUAAAUACUAUAAAAUAAAUUAUUAUUAUUUAUAAAUAAUAUUUAUAAAUAAAAUAUUAUAUACUAGCAAAUUUAUAACAAAAAUAAAAUAUUAUACAUAUGUAUGUAUACACAGACAUAGAAAGAAAGGUCUACAGUGGAUCCUCUCACGUGGUCCACGAGAACAACCUUUUCUCGUGGACCGCGUCUUUUCCCGCUGCCAUAAGCCGCGCCUUUUGGUAAAGAUUUUUCGUUUUUCGCGUAAAAAUGGCGGAAAACGAAAAGCUUUGUUUUCAUUCAAAUCUGUAAAAAAAAUUUUCAUGAAAAAUCAUUUUACCGCAACCAAACAACAAAAAAAAAAAUUUUCAGGCCAUUUUUACUGGUAACCAAACACACCUUAGCUUAGCUUAUCUUGUUCAACUCCACUGAGGUAUAAUUUUUCUUUUUCUAUUUUGAAAUCGUGAACUACUCCUUUGAACCAAAAGGAAAAGGUGAUUAAGUCCAAAUUGCACCCAUCUUAGUCCUUACAAACUACUUUGGAAACGGCAAAGGAAUCAUAUAUAUAUUAAAAAAAAUAAAGCAACUUCAUUUUAGUUGACAUGAUUGAUUAUAGUUAAAGACCGGUCGUGUACAUAAAAUGCGCUAGCGAAAGUAAGUAAGUAAUAUAUGAACUGCAACUGGUGAUGCCCAAGCAGGCCGUGCCCUUUUUUUAGCUAGACGGGGGGUGGUGUCCGGAACCGGGCGGGUGGUGCCCGCCCUCGGGGCCGUGCCCGCCGUGGCGGCGAUUGCCACCGUACUUCUUUUGCAGGUACUUAACGAAGUCGUCGCAGAAGGGGAUGUACCUGCCCGUCUUAGUGUUGACGGGCCUGGGGGCGCCGCGCCUGCACCGGCGGUAGAGGCGGUUAACGUGGCGGGGGGUGACCCAAUCGUAGAUGGCGAACAUUGUGGUGCCGCAGAUGCGGGGGACGUUGUUGAGCCCCUCGCAGGUGUGCGGGGACGGCUGGCAGCCCCACCGGAGGAACGACUUGAAGUCGAGGAUGGCGUCCGGCUGGCCCAGGUAGCCCCAGCAGUGGUAUAUGAUCUGAAGCUUGUCCGUCGGCUGCACGUCCGUGAUCUUCGCCGGGUCGAGCACCGCCGGGGGGUCCGCACGCAGGACGUAGCCCGGCGGCGUCGGGACCAGGUCGCUGAAGUCGCGAAAUUGACGUUCGGGCCCGUUUCCCUCCGCCGUAACGAACGGCACGGCCGCGACGACGGCCGCGACGAGAAGUAAAGACCACCUCAUUUUAUUUUCUUUUAUUUCUUUGUUUUUAUUGUCUUUCGACAACGAUAGCGACGGUGAUGGCGAGAAAAGAGAGAACACCCUAGGGCUAUAUAUACAUAAUUCAUUAUGUGUUGUUACAUAAGUGAGUAGUUUUUUUGGUAUUAAUGAUAGUGUAACUCAUAUGAAAGAAUCUAUGAAUUUUUUAAAAAACACUCCAACUUUUCACAGUUUCACAAUUAAUUUGAUCCAAUUAAUUACUAUUAGAACUUAAUUGGUUAAUUAAUUAGAAAGAAGGUUAGAUUAAGGAGUUUCUAUUUGGAAGGCACAAUCCCUUAGAAAGCAAAUUUUCUUAAUUAGUUACCAUCAAAGCAAAUAGAAAACGCCAUUUCAAAAUUUGAAAAUAAGGUGUUACAGAAACUUGGUUCUUUGACGCAAAGAUCUAAGCCGCAUUGCGAGAAAAGAAAUAUAAUUAAAGACAAAAAAAUAGAUAUAUAAAGAGGACAAUUUUUUGAAAAGAGAAAAAUAUUAUUGAUCAAACUCCAGACCAAUUAUCGGUACCGUUAAUCGAAGGCCAUAUAUAUAGGCGAUGCUCGAACCCAACUAGGAGAGAAAAUUAUACAAUCUAAAAUAUUUAUAAAUCUAAAUAGGUUAGGAAUAACUAUAAGAUAGUCUAAUUAUAAAUUAAAAAAAUAAAAAAACUUUUUAAAAAUAAUAAAAAAGCACAUAUUCACAAGGCCAACAAAAUUAAAUUUGGAUUCCAAACUAGGCCGAAACGGCAACACGGUUCACUUGUAGAUCUUGAUAACUUGUUUUUGAAGUGGAGUUGCACGCUGAAAAUGGACAUCCAAAUGAAAAAUUAUAACUGUUUAAAGAAGUUUCCAAACUAUUUGUAAAAAUUGCCGAGCUCAAUGAGAUUUUCAGCUCGAUUUGGUUAGGUCCAGCUUCUCCAUAAAUUCUAACGUUAAAUCGGCCGCGUUAUUUUCCUUUUUUUUUCCUUCUUUUAAUAAUACUGCAUCGGAUUUCUCUCCCUGCAGUAUUGAAUAGAAUAUGCUGAACAAAAUCUUCUUAAUUUAUCAGACUGAGGCAAAUGAAAAUAUUUGGUUAGAUUGAUAGAAUACGUAGAAUUUAUUUUUUGAUGUUUUUAGGACAGUUAUAGUUGAAUAAAAUACUUCAUCCGAAAACCUACGACGGAGCAUAUAUCACGUAAUCAUCCGUCCUUCGAUCUAUUUUAUACUUUCAAUCUAAUUAUUUAAAUGUAAGUAAUUGAAUGGAUAGAGAUUAAAAUGUGAGUAAAUGGAGGGCUGAUAACGGGGCACAAUAGUUCUCUCUUAGUUGGGAUGAGAUGAGUAAAGUUCUAACUAGUUAAAAAAAUGAGAUGGAUUAGUUCUAACUAGUUAAAAAUAAAAUGUUAUUAAAGAUUGAUAAGCGAUCAAUAAAGAAUGUAAAAAUUUAGUCGUAGUCAUAAUUAUUACGACUAUUGAGAUCGUGCAUUCUAUCUACAAGAUGAUUUAUUAUAUUCUUUAAAAAUUGAAAUUAGUAAUUUGGCGGCAGAGCUAAGUACGAGCUAGUUUGAGAUGUGCCAGGUUAGGUUUAGCAAGUGCACACAACUUUUUUCAUACUAAAAUACUCUUUACCUAACUUAAAUAGUUUGGAAUAGCAACAUUUAUUUGCUCCUGAAUGAUUCCCAAGUAAUACAAGUGAUUCAAGAAGCUAAAAUUAGCUUUUAUAUAUAUAUAUAUAUAUAUAUAUAAUUAGGUUACGAUACUAUUAAUAGUAACAAGCGUUCGGUGCUAUUAAAUUUUUGGCUCUUAGAUGAAAGGAUAUGUGGUUAGGAAUGAUAGUGGUCUCUAAGAUUGAGUAACUAGUUGGGUUGAAUAAUAUGAUUUAACAGAUGAAAAUGGUCAAAGAGGUAGAUUUAACGGCAAAAACUCGAUCGCAUCAAUCGCUUGAUACUGUCGAUAAUAUAGUAGCUGAACUCUCUCUCUCUCUCUCUAUAUAUAUAUAUUUGUAUAUAUAUAUAAACAGAGUGUGUGUGUUCACCGUUAGAUCUAUUCCUUUGACAAAUUUCACUACUUAGAUUAUGCCAUUCUACUUACCACCCAUUGAACCCUAAUAGAAGACCACUAUUAUCCCAACCCUACAAAUCUUCAUCCAAAGACUACAAAUCCACAAGCACUAAUGACUUGGUGCCUUUUAAAACAUAGGAACUCAAUUAUAUAUAUAUAUAGAGAGAGAGAGAAUUAUACUACUAUACUAUCGAUAGUAGCAAACGUUUGGUGCUAUCAAGUUUUUUGUUGUGGGAUAAAAGGAUGUGCGGUUAGGAUGAUAAUGGCCCUCUAGGACUGAGUAGGUGGUUAGUUGAAUAGUAUAAUCUAACGAGUGAAAAUAAUCAAAGGGGAUAUUUAACGACAGCUGCAGAAAUAAACACAUUGAAUGCAACAGCAGUAUUUGAAUGCAACAGCAGUAUUUGAUAUCUUACUUAUGUCCAAAAUCUUUUUUGUAUCUAGCUGUUGUGUAUUCUUACUUAGAUUAUCAUGUUUAGGAUGGAUUUUUCUAUUGCUCUCUUUGACUGUUGUAGACGCCUUGUGCACAUUGUAGUUUUUAGUGUGCACGGCGGGUCUGGGCACGCGCCCGGCGGGCUUUCGCUGCAACUCGAGACGUGACAAUAUCCACAUAUUUUCAAAAUGCCAAAACACAACUAUGACUGUGACAACAUGUAAGCUAAGGAAUAUAUUUAAUUUAUAUGGAAAGAGGCCUUAAUCGACAAUAUCAAAGAGUUUGGUACUAUCAAUAGUAUAGUAGUUAAACUCUCUCUUUCUCUCAAUAUAUAUACUCAUUAAGGCCUUGUUUAUACUAUUUCUCUUAUUCGUGUCAUUCUCGAUUGGUUUGCAAUGCAAUCUAGCAAGAUGCCAAAGGAUAAAUUCUUCAGAAAUCCAAAUAAGUAAAUGUGUUUUUGUUGAUGCGGCGUUAAGUGAGAUAGAUGUAUGGAUUGCGCGCACUCCACGAUCACUAUAUUCGACUUAAAAAAGACCAAGGCCAUUUGGAGCCCAAAAUAUGGAGCUUCUGAAAAUGGGCCUUCUAGUCGUUACGUUAGAGAAGGUCUCUACACCUCAGCAAUUAGAGUUACAUCCUAAGCAAUAAAAAGAUCUAAGAAAAAAUGGAAGUUAUUAAUUAAUUAAUUACACAUUAAUUAGUAUUAAAGCUCGAAACGUACGUAGAUGUAGCGUAGGUGAUCGACACUCCUCACUAUAAAACCCCACGAGCUCUCUCAUUCUCAUCACCACCCCACAACACAAACACAGAAAGAAAAGCAAAAAAAAAAAUAAUAAUAAUAAAAAAAAUAAAGAGGGGGAAAGAAUUUGGUGAAAAAAAAGAGAAAGAAACAAUGAGGUGGUCCUCGCCAUUGUUUGCAUUCCUCCUCCUCGCCCUGGUGGCCGGCAAGCUGGCGGCGGUGGCGGGCGACGACGACGAUGACAGGGCAGACAACGGGGACCUGAACCAGAACGUGAAGUCAUUUCCGGACCUGGGGAAUCUGGUGCCGAGCCCGCCGGGGGAGGUCCUGCCCCCCGAGGGGCCGAUGGUGGCGACGCCGGCGCAGUUGAACGCGCCGGAGCCGAAGACCCGGGAGGAGAUCAUCUUCCACUGCUGGGGAUACCUGGGCCACCCGGAAACCAUUCUGGACAUCAAGUCCUUCUUCCGGUGGGGCUGCCAGCCGUCCCAGAACACCUGCGACGGCCUGCACCGCAUCCCGCAGCUCUGCAUCGACAACAUGUUCGGGGUUUACGAGUGGGUCACCCCGCGGCACGUCCACCGCAUGUACAGGCGCUGCCGGCCCGGCGCCCCGCGGCCCAUCAACCGCAAGAACGGCAGGUACGUCUCCUACUGCCGGGACUUCGUCAACUACCUCUGGAGGAAGUACGGCAAGAAGAAGCACGGAGGCGGCCACGGCAACAAGAAUGGAGGAGGGCGCCACCGGCAGCGGACGGCCGCCGUCAGAGCCUGAAUCUCACUAGCUAGCUAAAAUUUAUGUGCAUGGCCACGGCCACGUAAAUCCAUCCUAAUAUUGUUUAAGUUGGGGAAUGUGCAUGUAAUGAUGAGCUCAACUAUUUGAAAAAUCUUUCUCAUCUUUUAUUAUAAUAUCUUUUAAAAACAACUCGAAAGUUUAAUUUUAGUUUUAAAAAAAUUUCGAAACGAAAUUAAAUAAAAAUACUGUAAAAAUAAGGAUUAGAAAAGAUCUAUGGAUCGAGACGUGCAGAGCACAACCCUAGAAGCGAAAUUGCCCCUCCACGUGCAACACUUUUCGGCAAUUACUUCCAACGAUGCAACAACUACGUUCCAUCUUGUCGGCACGUUUUCAAGAUAGCGCAAGACGAACGCGACAAUUUUUAGAUCAAGCAAAAUAUGAGAAAGCUCGACAAAAAUCGGCGCAAAAGAUCAACGACGAGAAAACAUGAAAAACGAGUUAGAAGGUAGGAUUUUGCUCUUAGAUAUGCCCAGAUUCUUAUUGAACUCGUGCAAUAUCGUCCAAUAUAUAUAACCAAGACAAGAAUUUGCUUCAACACGUUAAUUCUGUGCAGAAUAAGAUAAGCCUAUGAUGAUAUGGGAUAUAGAUUGAGAUUAGCCUGUGAUUAUAUGGGAUACAGUUUAAGACUAUGAUUAAGAUAAGGAUAAACCGAAAAAAUAAAAUGAAAUAAAUAGGAUGCCACCCGGCCCGGCUCGUGCUCGUGCUGUGCGUGCAUGUGUUUAAACGAGAGCAUAACUCUUAUUUUCUUCCAAACAACUAGCUUGAGAAUAAAAGAAUAUAUAAAUACCAACAUCACCCUUUUAGUUUCCAAUGUAGGACUAUUCCUCGCAUGUGGAAACCAUAGUUAGUUAAUUCGGAUUUGGCAAAAAUUCGGUACGGAUAUAAUUCGGAUAAAAUUCGUCUUUUAAUUUUUAGAUUUGUUGAAAAAUACGGCUAAAAAAUGGAUUCGCCAAUUAUUCGGAUAUGUGAUUUAUACAGAUAUUAUAUGUUCAUCAAUUAUAAAUUAGAGAUAAAAAAUUCGACUAUUUUAUUAAGUUUUUUUCCUCUCAAAAUUUAUGCUGUUAGCAUAAAUACUCAUAUUUCUUAAAAAUAUAAGAAAAAAGAACUACAAAAUUAAGCCAAUUAAGUAAAAUAAAUGGCAAACUAUAUUAUAUCUCAAAAUAAAUAAUAAAUUAAGAAAAUAAGAUAUUAAAAUAAUAUAUAAAAGAUUAAAUUUUUUUGAUCGAGUGAUUUUUUUGGGGGGAGGUGAGCGAACGUUUCGAAAAGAUUUUUUUUUUCUUUUUUUGUGGGAGGUUUGGAUUUUGGAAAGGGUUUUUUUUUUUUUUUUCACCUUUCUCUGUUUUGGGCGAGCCGCAAGGGGCGCGGAAGCGAGUGCGAGCGCGGGCCAGGGCGCGGGCACGAGCGCAGGCCCGAGCGCAGGCCGUUUUUUUAGGCGAAUAAUUCGCGAAUAAGUAUUUUUCCCAAAAAAACACGUUUUUUCCGAAUUUUUCAGAAAAAUACGAAUUCGGCAGUUUAAUUUGUUUUCUCAAAAAUUCGCGAAUAAUUCGCGAAUUAACUAACACAAGUGGAAACCGCAGUUGGGCUCCUAAGCAAGGCCCAAUAAGUUUUGGCCUGCCCAAGAGGCCUAACAAAUUUUAAAUCACCAAAAUGCAAUAAAAUCCAACAUUCCCCUACGUGAUUUAAAAUUUGGAAGAAAGAAAGCGAAUAAACUGAAAUUCAAAACAACUCAAAAAGAAUGCUGGAUCUCUUAUACCAUAUAUUCAGUAAAGAUACCUUCCGGGUCUGAACCUUCACUUAGUACUUGUUAAUGUACAUCCGAAGACACGAUAGUGGACUACGUCUUGAACUAAGACCGGUGAAUCGAAUUUUCAGAAACAGCACACACGGUACAGCUUGUUGGCUUAAAUGGGCCAGCAUCCUACCCUGUGGCGGGAGGCCAUGUGGGCCGAGUCAUGUUCGAAAUGGCGUGAGGUUGGGUUGGGCCGAGUCAUGUUCGAAGUGGCGUGAGGCCAAGUGGGCCGAGUCACAAUCGAGGCCCGUGGGCGCUGUUUCUGUACGCUUUAAGUGAAUUGGUUGCGUAUUUCUAAAAGCUCGAGCUUUUGGGAUUAAUGGUUAGCGCCAACGAUCCGACAAGUGGAAUCAGAGCCAGAGGUCACGGGUUCGAUUCCUGCAUGCUGCAAAUGUGUGCAGGUGCUGGAGGGGGGAUUGUUGGCUUAAAUGGGCCAGCAACCUGCCCUGUGGCGGGAGGCCAUGUGGGCCGAGUCAUGUUCGAAAUGGCGUGAGGUUGGGUUGGGCCGAGUCACGUUCAAAGUGGCGUGAGGCAAGGUGGGUCGAGUCACAAUCGAGACCUGUGGGAUGUUUCUGUACGCUUUAAGUGAAUUGGUUGCGUAUUUCUAAAAGCUUGAGCUUUUGAGAUUAAUGGUUAGCGCCAACGAUCCGACACAGCUGUUUAUGUUUUAAGCGGGUAAGCGCUUUUAUGACUAUGCGCUAGUAUCGCUUCGUGUGUGUUUUAGGGAACCGCCCUCUUUCCAUAGUCGCGGCCUCACGACUCCAUACAUAUAGUAGGUCCUCAAAAGGUAUCUGCAAGGUCACACUCUGCCUUAUAGGUCUCGAAGCCAUUCAGGGCAAACGCCCUUCUUACCCAUUUGCAGAUAUGAGCACUGUCGCCAUAGGGAUGAGGAUAUAAAAAUAGUGCUCCUCACAGCUGCAUAUUCAACUUGUUUCUAUUAGGGGUUAAACUGGGUUCGAGCCUAAAUAAGGCCCUGUCUGAUGGGGCAUGUUUGGGUCAGGUUUUGGAUAUUAAAAAUAUAACUUUGGGUUCGGACUGGGCUUAAAAAUUUAGGCUCGAAAAAAAAUUUGGGCCAAUUUGGGCUUGUCCAAGCCCGGCCUGAGCCCGAUCCAAAAGCCCGAUAUAUUAAUUAUUAAAAUUAAAAUUUUAAUUUUAUAUAUAUAUAUAUAUAUAUAUAUAUAUAUGUAUAGAGAGAGAGAGAGAGAGAGAGAGAGAGAGAGAGUCCGGUUGGGGUACUAUCGAUAGCAUCAAGGAUUUGGUGCUAUCGAGUUUUCCACCGUUAGAUUUAACCCUUUGAUUAAUUUUAUCCAUUAGAUUAUAUUAUUCAACUAACCACUUACUCAACCCUAGGGGGCCCACAUCAUCCUAACCAUACAUUUCUCAAUCCAAGGGCUAAAAUAUUAAUAGCACCAAUAGUUUGGUGCUAUUGAUAGUUUUCCAGUCUAGCUCUCUCUCUCUCUCUCUCUCUCUCUCUCUCUCUCUCUCUCUCUAUAUAUAUAUAUAUAUAUAUGCUAGAGCUACUAUCCUAUUAAUAGGAUAGGAGCACUUGUCCUAUCAAAUUGUUCUUGAUGAUCGAGAUUCUGAAUCGAUGAUCGGAGCCGUUGAAGUUGAUCUAGAGUAUUUGAAAUAUCUAGAAACCAAAUUUCAUAAAUUUUAAAAAUUAUUUACAUGGUGAUCAAAGUGUUGUAAAAUCGACAAUUUUUGACGGCCUAUAUGAGCCGUUUGCUUGUUUAACGGUGUAGAGCAAUCCAAAUUGCUUGAAUUUUUGAUAAAAAAUUCUUUAUACUAUUUAGAUAAUGUUUGAUAACUCUGAUUAUGAAUUGAGAAAGUCUAAUCUCUAUUUUAAGAAAGUUAUUCAUUUAUGACCGUUCAUUUUUUAACUAUUAAGAUAAACUUGAUAAUGAUUUUUAAAUACUACAAAAAUUGGUUUCUAAAUAUUUCUAAUUGUGUAGAUCAAUUUCAACGGUGACGAUUAUCAAUUUGAAGUUCCGAUCAAUCAAAAUGACUUGAUAGGACAAUAGCUCCAAUCCUAUUAAUAGGAUAGUAGCCGGACUCUAUAUAUAUAGUAUUAUUAUAUAUAAUUAAUUAAUUAUAAAUAUCUAUGAAUAAAUAUAUACUACAUAUUAUUAUAUAUAGCUAAUUAGUUAUGUACAUAACAUUUACUAAAUAUAUAUUAUUUUAUAAUUUUUAAAAUAAUUAAUUAGACGUUCUAUGUACAUAAGGAUAAUUUUUAAAUUUUAAAAUACCAUAAUAAUCUUUUAAGAAAUCACAUAUGCCGUAAUUAAUUAAACGUUUUAUAUUUUCUAUCACAUAUGCAGUAAUUAAUUAAACGUUCUAUAUUUUCUACCCUUACGUGAGAAGUUCCUAUCCUACAUAGGUGGAUAGGAUAGGUGGAUAAUUAUUGGUAGACAUUAAUGAUAUUAUAUUUGAUAUUAGAUACUAAUUUUUUUGAUGUAAUCAAAUCUCAAUAAAAAUAGGUAUUUUAUUUUAAUUUUAUAUAAUAAAAAUAUUUAUGUAUUAUAUGAUAAAUGUAUAGAAUGGGCCUCCACAAAGCUUGAUGGGUAUUGGGCAUUGGGCUUGGGCUUAGGCCGGGCUGUAAUUUGUUUAAAAAAUUGGGUACAGCCCAACCCCAAGCCCAACAUUUUUUUGGGCCGGGCUUGGGCAUCGUAUUAUCCGACCCAAGCUCGGCCCAGUUCCAACCCUACUUUCUACUCAAUGAAUCUCAGUAGGUUGGGUUGUCGUCGUCGAUAACUUCUAUUGUGGGUUAAGCCCCAUCUCCCUCGAUGAUCACUAUAUUUGACUUAAAAAAGACCAAGCCCAUUUGGAGCCCAAAAUAUGGAGCUUGUUAAAAUAGCCCACAGCCCAUUACUAAAUGGGCCUUCUUGUCGUGGGCUCUCGCACUUUUUACGUUAGAGAAGACGCUAGAGCAGGCCCCUCUGCCUCAGCGAGAGUUACAUCCUAAGCAAAAAAAUGGUCCAAGGAAAAAAAUAAAAGUUAUUAAUUAAUUAAUUAAUUAAGACUCAUUAAUUAUAUAUAUGUUACACAUUAUUAUUAUUAAUUAGUAUUAAAGCUCGAAACGUACGUAGAUGUAGCGUAGGUGAUCGACACUCCUCACUAUAAAACCCCACGAGCUCUCUCAUUCUCAUCACCACCCCACAACACAAACACAGAAAGAAAAACAAAAAAAAAAAAAUUAAAAAAAAAAGAGGGGGAAAGAAUUUGGUGAAAAAAGAAAGAAAGAAACAAUGAGGUGGUCCUCUCCAUUCUUCGCAUUCCUCCUCCUCACCCUGGUGGCCGGCAAGCUGGCGGCGGUGGCGGGCGACGACGACGAUGACAGGGCAGACAACGGGGACCUGAACCAGAACGUGAAGUCAUUUCCGGACCUGGGGAAUCUGGUGCCGAGCCCGCCGGGGGAGGUCCUGCCCCCCGAGGGGCCGAUGGUGGCGACGCCGGCGCAGUUGAACGCGCCGGAGCCAAAGACCCGGGAGGAAAUCAUCUUCCACUGCUGGGGAUACCUGGGCCACCCGGAAACCAUCCUGGACAUCAAGUCCUUCUUCCGGUGGGGCUGCCAGCCGUCCCAGAACACCUGCGACGGCCUGCAUCGCAUCCCGCAGCUCUGCAUCGACAACAUGUUCGGGGUUUACGAGUGGGUUACCCCACGGCACGUCCACCGCAUGUACAGGCGCUGCCGGCCCGGUGCCCCGCGGCCCAUCAACCGCAAGAACGGCAGGUACGUUUCCUACUGCCGGGACUUCGUCAACUACCUCUGGAGGAAGUACGGCAAGAAGAAGCACGGAGGCGGCCACGGCAAGAAGAAUGGAGGAGGGCACCACCGGCAGCGGACGGCCGCCGUCAGAGCCUGAAUCUCACUAGCUAGCUAAAAUUUAUGUGCAUGGCCACGGCCACGUAAAUCCAUCCUAAUAUUUUUUAAUUUGGGGAAUGUGCAUGUAAUGGUGAGCUCAACUAUUUGAAAAAUCUUUUCGAUCUUUUAUUAUAAUAUCUUUUAAAAAUAACUCGAAAGUUUAAUUUCAGUUUUAAAAAAAUUUUGAAAUAAAAUUAAAUAAAAAUACUAUAAAAAUAAGGAUUAGAAAAGAUCUAUGGAUCGAGACGUGCAGAGCACAACCCUAGAAGCGAAAUUGCCCCUCCACGUGCAACGCUUUCCGGCAAUUACUUCUAGCGAUACAACGACUACGUUCCAUUCUGUCGGCACGCUUUCAUGGUGGCGCAAGACGAACACGACAAGUUUCAGAUCUAGCAAAAUACGAGAAAACUCGGCGAAAAUCAGCUCAAAAGAUCAACGACGAGAAAGCAUGAAAAACGAGGUAGAAGAUAGGAUUUUGCUCUUAGAUAUGCCCAGAUUCUUAUUGAACUCGUGCAAUAUCGUCCAAUAUAUAUAACCAAGGCAAGAAUUUGCUUCAACGCGUUAAUUCUGUGUAGAAUAAGAUAAGUCUAUGAUUAUAUGGGAUACAGAUUAAGAUUAGCCGAUGAUUAUAUGGGAUACAGAUUAAGACUAUGAUUAAGAUAAGGAUAAAACCGAAAAAAUAAAAUAAAAUAAACAGGUUGCCACCCGGCCCGACUCGUGCUCGUGCUGUGCGUGCGUGUGUUUAAACGAGAGCAUAACUCUUAUUUUUUUCCAAACAACUAGCUUGAGAAUAAAAGAAUAUAUAAAUACCAACAUCACCUUUUUAGUUUCCAAUGUAGGACUAUUCCUCGCAUGUGGAAACCAUAGUUAGUUAAUUCGGAUUUGGCAAAAAUUCGGUACGGACAUAAUUAGGAUAAAAUUCGUCUUUUAAUUUUUAAAUUCGUUGAAAAAUACGGCUAAAAAAUGGAUUCGCCAAUUAUUCAGAAACGUGAUUUAUACGGAUAUUAUACGUUCAUCAAUUAUAAAUUCGGGAUAAAAAAUUCGGUUAUUAAAUUAAGUUUUUUUUUUUCUCUCAAAAUUUAUGCUAUUAGCAUAAAUAGUCAUAUUUCUUAAGAAUAUAAAAAAAAAGAACUACAAAAUUAAGCUAAUUAAGUAAAAUAAAUGGCAAACUAUAUUACAUCUCAAAAUAAAUAAUAAAUUAAGUAAAUAAGAGAUUAAAAUAAUACAUAAAAGAUUAAAUUUUUUUGAUCGAGUGAUUUUUUUUUUGGAGGGAGGAGAGCGAACGUUUCGAAAAGAAUUUUUUUUUUUUUUUGGUAGGAGCUGAUUUGCAAAGUUUUCACCUUUCUCUGUUUUGGGCGAGCCGCAAGGGGCGCGGAAGCGACUGCGAGCGCGGGCCAGGGCGCGGGCCAGGGCGCGAGCGCGGGCCCGAGCACAGGCCUUUUUUUGGGCGAAUAAUUCGCGAAUAAGUAUUUUUCCCAAAAAAACACGUUUUUUCCGAAUUUUUCGGAAAAAUACGAAUUCGGCAGUUUAAUUCGUUUUCUCAAAAAUUCGCAAAUAAUUCGCGAAUUAACUAACACAGGUGGAAACCACAGUUGGGCUCCUAAGCAAGGCCCAAUAAGUUUUGGCCUGCCCAAGAUGCUUAACAAAUUUUAAAUCACCAAAAUGCAAUAAAAUCCAACAUUUUCCCACGUGAUUUAAAACUUGGAAGAAAGAAAGCGAAUAAACUGAAAUUCAAAACAACUCAAAAAGAAUGCUGGAUCUCUUAUACCAUAUAUUCAGUAAAGAUACCUUCCGGGUCUGAACCUUCACUUAGUACUUGUUAAUGUACAUCCGAAGACACGAUAGUGGACUACGUCUUGAACUAAGACCGGUGAAUCGAAUUUUCACAAACAGCACACACGGUACAUCUGUUUAUGUUUUAAGCGGGUAAGUGCUUUUAUGGCUAUGCGCUAGUAUCGCUUCGUGUGUGUUUUAGGAAACCGCCCUCUUUCCAUAGUCGCAGCCUCACGACUCCAUACAUAUAGUAAAUCCUCAAAAGGUAUCUGCAAGGUCACACCCUGCCUUAUAGGUCUCGGAGCCAUUCAGGGCAAACGCCCUUCUUACCCAUUUGCAGAUAUGAGCACUGUCGCCAUAGGGAUGAGAAUAUAAAAAUAGUGCUCCUCACAGCUGCCUAUUAAACUUGUUUCUAUUAGGGGUUGAACUGGGUUCAAGCCUAAAUAAGGCCCUGUCUGAUGGGGCAUGUUUGGGUCGGGUUUUGGAUAUUAAAAAUAUAACUUUGGAUUCGGACCGGGCUUAAAAAUUUAGGCCCGAUAAAAAAUAUGGGCCAAUUUGGGCUUGUCCAAGCCCGGCCUGAGCCCAACCCAAAAGCCCGAUAUAUUAAUUAUUAAAAUAAAAAAAUUAAUUUUAUAUAUAUAUAUAUAUAGAGAGAGAGAGAGAGAGAGAGAGAAAGAGAGAGAGAGUCCGGUUGGGGUACUAUCGAUAGCAUCAAGGAUUUGGUGCUAUCGAGUUUUCCACCGUAAGAUUUAACUCUUUGAUUAAUUUUAUUCAUUAGAUUAUACUAUUUAAUCAACCACUUACUCAACCCUAGGGGGCCCAUAUCAUCCUAACCAUACAUUUCUCAAUCCAAGGGCUAAAAUAUUAAUAGCACCAAUAGUUUGGCGCUAUUGAUAGUUUUCCAGUCUAGCUCUCUCUCUCUCUCUCUCUCUCUCUCUCUCUCUCUCUCUCUCUAUAUAUAUAUAUAUAUAUAUGCUAGAGCUACUAUCCUAUUAAUAGGAUAGGAGCACUUGUCCUAUCAAAUUGUUNNNNNNNNNNNNNNNNNNNNNNNNNAUUAUUUAUAUUUUUAAAUAAUUAAUUUGACGUUCUAUGUACAUAAGGAUAAUUUUUUAAAUUUUUAAUAAUACCAUAAUAAUCUUUUAAGAAAUCAGCAGGGUAGUGCCGUAGAGUGAGAUGUAGAGACGUUGUUAUGUUGUUCUCAAAUUAUGCCAGUAAUUAAUUAAACGUUUUAUUUUUACCCUUAUUGAGAAGUUCCUUAUUCCUACAUAGAUGUGGAUAGAUAGUGGUGGUAAUUAUUGAGGUGCAUUAAUGCUAGUUAUUAUUUGAUAUUUAAUACUAAUUUUUUGAUGUAAUCAUAAUCUCAAUAAAAUAGUAUUUUAUUGUAAUUUUUAUUAUAAUAAAAAUAUUUGUAUUAUAUGUAAAUGUAUAGAAUGGGCCUCACAAAGCUUGAUGGGUAUUGUGGCAUUGCGGCUUUGGGCUUAGGCCGGCUGCAAUUUGUUUUAAAAACUAUUGGUAGUCCCAACAAACCCAACAUUUUUUUGGGCCGGGCUGGGCAUCGUAUUAUCCGACCCAAGCUUCGGCCAGCUUCCAAUCUAUUUUAUCUCAGAUGCAAACUCAGUAGGUUGGCGGUUUGUCGGUACGAGAUAACUUUUAUUGUGGGUUAAGGCCCGCAUUCCCUCAUAGAUAUAUAUUUGACCUUAAAAAGUACCAAGCAUUUGGAGCCCAAAUAUGGCAGCUUGGUUAGAAAAUAGCCACAGGUCUGAUUACUAAAUGGGCCUUCUUGUCGUGGCUUCUCGCACUUUUUUCGUUAGAGAGACCAAUAGAGCAGAGGCCCCCUCUGCGCUCAGCCGAGGAGUUACAUCCUAGCAAAAAAGAAUUCUGGGUUCAAAAGGAAAAAAAAUAAAAGUUAUUAAUUAAUUUAAUUAAUUAAAGCAUUCAGUUAAUUAUUAUAUGUUAACAUAUUAUUAAUUUAGUUAUUAAGCUCGAAACGUACGGUAGAGCAUAGGUAGUUCGACACUCCUCACUAUAACCCCACGAGCUCUUCUUCUCAUCACACCCAAACACAAACACAGAGAAUAAAUAAUCAUAAUAAAAAAAAUUAAAAAAGGCAGAGUGUGGAAUUGGGGAAAAAAGAUAAAAGAAGAGGUCCUCAUUCCAUCUCCCCACGCGUGGGAGUGCCGGCAAAGCUCGGCGCGGGGCGGCGACGACGAGGCGAUGACAGGGCAGACAACGGUGUAGCAGACGUGAAUAUUUCGGAAAGCUGGGCGAAAUCUUGUGCUGAAGAGCCCUCUCUGCUCGUGUGGGGUUCCUGCCCCCGGCGUGGGGGCCGAUGGUGACCCGCCGUGUGUGAGACUCGCGUGCGAAGCCAAAGACCGCGGGGAGGAAAUCAGUUUCACUGCUGAGAUACCUGGGCCCCCCGGGAAACCACCUGGACAUCAAGUCCUGUCUUCCAGGUGGGAGCUUGGCAAGAGUCCAGAAGCAGCCUGCGACGGCUGCAUCGCAGGUCCCGCAGCUGCUGCAUUACGACAACUAUUGCAGGGUUUAAGAUUUUGGGUGUGGGGUUCCCGGCAGUCCACCGCAUGUACAGGCGCUGCCCCGGGGCCCCGGGCCCAUCAACGCGCAAAGACGGGGUGUCGAUGUACGUUUUCCUACUCCGGACGUUCGUAAUAGCUUGACGAAGUACCGGCGGGUAAGAAGAGCACGGACGGCGGCCACGCUAAGUAAGAUGGAGGAGGCACCACCGGCAGCUGUGACGGCCGCCGUCAGACUUAAUCCACUAGCUAGGCUAGAAUUUAUAGUUUGCCAUGGGCCUAGGCAGGGUAAAAUCCAUACCUAAUAUUUUUUAAUUUGGGGGCAUGUAGCAUGUUAAUGUUAGUGUCAUUGUGCUAUUUGAAAUCUUUUUCAUUUUUAUUAUUUUUUAUAUCUAUUUAAAAAUAACUCGAAGUUAAUUUCAGUUUUAAAAAAAUUUUGCAGAUAAAAUUAAAUGAAAAUUACGUAUAAAAAUGAAGUUUAGAAAAGAUCUAUGAAUCGAGACUGUGCCCAAGAGCACACAACCCUAGAAGCGAAAAUUGCCCGCACGUGAACGCUUUCCGGCUCAAUAUUCAUAGCGACGUACAACGAAUUACGUUCCAUUCUGUCGGCACGUCUGGCGGAGCGAACAAGGACAAGUUUCGAGAUCGUAUGCAAGAAUUACGAGGAAAACUCGGGGCGGAAUCAGCUCAAAAUCAACGACCUGAUGUAAAGAUGAUAGAUUAUAUGGAUGUGGGGCGGUGGGGAGAGUGGUAUUUUGUCUUAGAUUAUGCCAGACUGUAGUUAAUUGAUCAAUAUCGUUGCAAUAUAAUUAACGAGGCUGUGUGUAAGAAUGGCCAACCGUGUAUAUUCGGUGUGUAGAAUAAGAUAAUGUCUAUGAUUAUAUGUGUGAAGUGAUUAGGCCGAUGAUUAUAUGCGGUACAGAUUAAGACUAUGAUUAAGAUAAACGGAUAAAAAACCGAAAAUAAUAAAAUAAAAGAAACAGGUUGCACCGGCCCGAUCGUGCUGUGCUGUGGCGUUGCGGUGUUUAAACGAUCGAGUCAUAACUUUAUUUUAUUUCCAAAACAACUAGCUGAGAAUAAAAGAAUAUAUAAAUACCAACAUACGCUUUUUAGUUUCCAAUGUAUUGAUUUCUAUUCCUCGCAUGUUGGAAACUAGAUUAUGUUAAUUCGGAUUUGGCAAAUUCGGUUACGGCAUAAUUAGGAUAAAAUCUCGUCUUUUAAUUUUUAAUUCUGUUUGUAAAAAUACGGCUAAAAAAUGGAUUCGCCAAUUAUCAGAAACUGUGAUUAUACGGUAUAUACGUUUCAUCAUUAUUAAUAUUACGGAUAAAAAUUCGGUAGUUAAAUUAAGUUUUUUUUUUUCUCUCAAAAUUUUAUGCUAUUGCAUAAAUGUCAUAUUUCUUAAGAAUAUGAAAAAAAUGAACUACAAAAUUAAUGCUAUUAAUAAAAUAUAUGGCAACUAUAUACAUUCUCAAAAUAAAUAUAAAUUAUAGUAAAUAAGAGAUUAAAAUAAUACAUAAAGAUUAAAUUUUUUUGUGCGAGUGAUUUUUUUUUUGAGGAGGAGAGCGACUGUCUCUGAAAGAAUUUUUUUUUUUUUUUGGUGGGAGGGUUUGGAUGGGAAAGGGUUUUUUUUUUCACCUUUCUGUUUUGGCGCGAGCGGAAGGGGCGCGGGGAAGCGACUGCGAGCGCGGGCGAGGUCGCGGGCCCGAGCGGCGGGGCCCGAGCACAGGCUUUUUUUGGAGCGAAUUAAUUCAGCCGAAUAAGUAUUUUUCCCAAAACACCGUUUUCGAAUUUUUCGACGAAAAAUACGAAUUCUGGGGCAGUUUAAUUCGGUUUUCUCAAAAGAUUCGCAUAAAUAAUUCCGCGAUUAAUAACACUAGGUGGAAACCCACAUGUGGUGCCUUAGCAAGGCCCAAUAAGUGUGUGCUCUGUCUGCGUGCUUAUGUGUAUGAUUAACAAAUUUUAAUCACAAAAUGCCAAUAAAAUUCCAACAUUUUCCACGUUGAUUUAAAACUUAGGAAGUAAGAAUAGCGAUAAAAUGAAAUUCAAACAAUCAAAGGAAUGCCUGUGAUGUUGGAUCAUGUCUUUAGUAAAGAUACUUCCGGAGUCUGAACCUACUUAGUACUUGUUAAUGUACAUCGAAGACCGAUAGUGGACUAGUUGAACUAAGAUCGCGUGAAUCGAAUUUUCCACAAACAGCACAACCUGAGUGUUUAUGGUUUUAAGCGGAAGCAUGGCGCUAGUAUCGCUUCGGGUGUGUUGUUUUAGGAACCGCCCCAUCUUUCAAUAGUCGGAGCCUCACGAUCAGUGUCCAUACAUAUAGUAAAUCCUCAAAAGGUAUCUGAAGGUCACCCUGCCUUUAUAGGUCUCGGACGCCAUAUCGAGGGCAAACGCACUUCUUACCAUUUGAGUUGAGCACUGUCGCCAUAGGUAUUGAGAAUAUAAAGAAUAGUGUCCUCACGUCUGUCUAUUAAAGCUUGUUUUCUAUUUAGGAGGUUGAAACUUGGGUUCAAGCUAAUAAGGCCAUGUCUGAUUGGAGGCAUGUUCGAUGGGUCGGGGUUUGGAUAUUAAAAUAUAACUUUGGAUUGGACGUGGCUUAAAAAUUUAGGCGCGAUAAAAAAUAUGUGCCAAUUUGGCUUGUCCAUAGCCGGCCUGAGCCAACCAAAGCACGAUAUACUUAAUUAUUAAAUAAAAAAUUAAUUUUAUAUAGUGAUAUUUAUAUAGAAGAGAGAUAGAACGAGAGAGAGUGUGAGAUAAGGAGAGAGGUCGGUUGGAGGUACUAUCGGAUUAGAUCAAGGAUUUUGCUAUCGAGUUUUCAACGAUGAUUUAACUCUGUUGAUUAAUUUUAUUAUUAGAUUAUACUAUUAAUCAACCACUUAAUCAACCCUAGGGGCCAUAUCAUCCUAACCAUAAUUUCUCAAUCAAGGGCUAAAAUAUUAAUAGCACAAUUGUUUGGCUGUAUUGAUAGUUUCCGUCUAGCGUCUAUAUUUAUAUAUAUAUUAUAUAUAUAUAUUAUUAUAUUUAUAUUAUAUAUAUAAUAUUAUAUAAUAUAAUAUAUCAUAUAUAUAUUAGUGUAGAAGCUACUUAUAAGUUAUAGGAACACUUCGCCUAUCAAUUAUGGGUGGAUUCCGAAUCGAUUAGAUCGGAGCCUGAUCUGAUCUAGCAGUAUUUGAAAUAUCUAGUUAGAUUUCAUUAAUGUAUGUUUACAUGCCGUUUCAAAGUAUUGUAAAAAUCUGACAAUUUUUGACGGGUGGCUAUAUUGAAGCCGUUUGUUUUUCAUCGGCAUGCAUUCCAAAUUGACAGUUUUUAGGCUUUGUGUUUGUCAACUCUUUAUCAUUUAUACUGUGUUGGAUUAAAAUAAUACCCUGUGGGGGACCACUUCACCUAGGAGGAGGACCACUCAACUCUAAUGAUUAUUUGUGUGUGUGUGUGUGUGUUGUGUCCAAGGUAAAAUUGAUUAGCAAAGAGGUUUUAUAUUAAUAGUAUUCUGCUAAUUAUAUAUAUAUUAGUAUAAUAUGAUAGUAGGUUAUAUAUAUAUAUAUAUUAUAUAUAUAUAUGUCGGGGUAUGUAUAUCUUUAUGAACGAUCGCCACUGCUUACUAUAGUUGUUUUCGAUGAUAGAGCUUCGAAUCGACGAUCCAUACGUUAGAUAUAUAUAUGGAUGUUGAGUAUAUUUCUAGAAAUCAAAUUAAAAUUUUUGACAUAUUUAACUUACGAUCAAAGCUCACAAUGAAAUUUUUAACGGCGGUAUGUGUGGUGUGUAUACUUGUAAGUUUAACUAGUUGUAAAAAAAUUGGAAUAUGUUGAAUUUUUGAUAGAAAUUCUAUUAUACCUAGUAAAGAAUCAAUAACUCGAUCUUAAGAUUGAGAUCCGUUCUAUCUAUUUUUACGACAGUCAAUUUUGACCGUUCGUUGAUUUUAUGACCGUUUGAUGGACUUUUUUGAUU